rnacentral:tRNA from 1 species
GAAAUAUAUAUAUAAGAAAAAGCUUCUAACUUUAACUUUAGCGAUUUACCCCGUUAAUAUUUCU